GACGAACGCUGGCGGCGUGCCUAAUACAUGCAAGUCGAACGAGAGCGACCGGUGCUUGCACUGGUCAAUCUAGUAGCGAACGGGUGAGUAACACGUGGGUAACCUGCCCAUCAGAGGGGGAUAACAUUCGGAAACGGAUGCUAAAACCGCAUAGGUCUUCGAACCGCAUGGUUUGAAGAGGAAAAGAGGCGCAAGCUUCUGCUGAUGGAUGGACCCGCGGUGCAUUAGCUAGUUGGUGAGGUAACGGCUCACCAAGGCCGUGAUGCAUAGCCGACCUGAGAGGGUGAUCGGCCACAUUGGGACUGAGACACGGCCCAAACUCCUACGGGAGGCAGCAGUAGGGAAUCUUCCGCAAUGGACGCAAGUCUGACGGAGCAACGCCGCGUGAGUGAAGAAGGUUUUCGGAUCGUAAAACUCUGUUGUUAGAGAAGAACAAGUGCUAGAGUAACUGUUAGCGCCUUGACGGUAUCUAACCAGAAAGCCACGGCUAACUACGUG
rnacentral:rRNA from 1 species